CUGCAGGUGUUGGUCUGUUCCUUCUUAACACCUGUCCUUCCAGUGUGACUACUUUAUAGGAUCUGUGAGCACCUUGAUGGGAAACUAGUGCUUUUUGUUUCC